GAUGAACGCUGGCGGCGUGCCUAAUACAUGCAAGUCGAGCGAGAAGCUUGGAAAUGACGCUUCGGUUGAUUUUUCAAGCGGACAGCGGCGGACGGGUGAGUAACGCGUAGGCAACCUGCCCCUGACAGAGGGAUAGCCAUUGGAAACGAUGAUUAAAACCUCAUGACACCGUAGUAGCACAUGCUACAUCGGCCAAAGAUUUAUCGGUCAGGGAUGGGCCUGCGUCUGAUUAACUGGUUGGUGAGGCAACGGCUCACCAAGGUGACGAUCAGUAGCCGACCUGAGAGGGUGAUCGGCCACAUUGGAACUGAGACACGGUCCAAACUUCUACGGAAGGCAGCAGUAGGGAAUCUUGCACAAUGGGCGAAAGCCUGAUGCAGCAACGCCGCGUGAAGGAUGAAGGCUUCGGGUUGUAAACUUCUGUUCUAAGGGAAGAAAGAAAUGACGGUACCUUAGGAGCAAGCCCCGGCUAA
rnacentral:rRNA from 1 species